GGGGACGACUUGGCUUCGACAGGAUCAAGUAGCUUUCGACUGCAUGUCGGACUGAGCAAUUCCGUUACGCGGCUCACAAUUGCUUAAAUGCAAACAAUACAAAUUACCGCCCAGCUUACGCAGUAGCAUAAGUUUUACCCCCUCUUAGAGGACGGGCUGCUUCACCUAUGGACUCUAGAUAAGUAGGAUUCGAAGUAUAACCCCUAUGUAGAUAUAUACUAAGUCUGUCUCAGCUUAGUAUGAAAACUUGAGGCUCGUUUUGUGUAGCUUUGCAAGUUGUGUGAAGCAAGAUUAAACUUUAACAACUUCUCUAAGCAUGUAGACGUUGGGAGUAGCUUGGUUUUGGACUCCGGUUCGAUUCCGGACGUCUCCACCA
rnacentral:tmRNA from 1 species